rnacentral:rRNA from 1 species
UACGUAGGCAGCAAGCGUUGUUCGGAAUUAUUGGGCGUAAAGAGUGUGUAGGCGGUGCUCUAAGUUCGGUGUGAAAUCUCCCGCUUAACUGGGAGGGUGCGCCGGAAACUGGAGUGCUCGAGCGUGGGAGAGGAAAGCGGAAUUCCUGGUGUAGCGGUGAAAUGCGUAGAUAUCAGGAGGAACACCUGCGGUGUAGACGGCUUUCUGGACCAUUGCUGACGCUGAGACACGAAAGCGUGGGUAGCAAACAGG